rnacentral:rRNA from 1 species
UACAGAGGGUGCAAGCGUUGUUCGGAAUCAUUGGGCGUAAAGCGCACGUAGGCGGCCUACUAAGUCAGGUGUGAAAGCCCCGAGCUCAACUCGGGAAGUGCACUUGAAACUGGUGGGCUUGAAUCCUGGAGAGGGUAGUGGAAUUCCGAGUGUAGAGGUGAAAUUCGUAGAUAUCGGGAAGAACACCUGUGGCGAAAGCGGCUCACUGGACCACAACUGACGCUGAGGCGCGAAAGCUAGGGGAGCAAACAGG